rnacentral:rRNA from 1 species
UGUAGUAUUUAUUUAUUAAUGUAAAUUUUUAUUGGUUUAUAAGUAUUAAAAAUAAUUAUAAAAUUUUAUGUUUUAGUAAUUUUUAAUGAAAAAAUAAUUUUAAUAAUAGUGUAUUAGGUAUUGUGAAAGAUAAUUGAAAUAAUUUGAAAAAUAAUUAUUUAAAAAGAAAAUUUUAUUUAUUGUACCUUGUGUAUCAGGGUUUAUUUAAUAAUUAAUAAUUUUAUUUAUUAAUCUCGAUUUUAUAAGAGUUAAUAAUUUAUGAAAGUUAAUGUGUCAAAAUUAUUUUAAAUAAAUUAUUAGAAAUGAAAUGUUAUUCGUUUAUAAAGGUAUCUAGUUUUUUUAGAAAUAAAUUUAAUUUACAAUUUUUUAAUUUUUAAAUUAUUUAUUUAAUUUAAAAAAUUAUUAAUUUGAAUAUUCUAAGGGAUAAGCUUUAGAAUAAAUUUUUAAAAAUUAAUUAAUAAAAUAUAAAAAUGUAUGCUUAGAAUUAGUAAUCAUUAAUAAGUUUGUUAUAAAUUAUUUAUUAUUAAUAUAUUAUUUAUUAAGUUUUAAGUUUAUAUAAAAAUUUUUUUAUAAAUAAUUUUAUGAAAAUAAAUAAUGAUGGAAUUAGUAUAAUAAAUUAUUGUUUAAAUAAAUUUAUAUGAUAAGUUUAUAUAAAGAAUUCGGCAAAUAUAUUACUCGCCUGUUUAACAAAAACAUGUCUUUUUGAGUUAUUUUAAAAGUCUAACCUGCCCACUGAAUAAAUUUUUAAAUGGCCGCAGUAUUCUAACUGUGCAAAGGUAGCAUAAUCAUUAGUCUUUUAAUUGAAGGCUGGUAUGAACGGUUGGACGAAGUAUAAGCUGUUUCAUAUAAAAUUAUAUUAGAAUUUUAUUUUUUAGUAAAAAAGCUAAAAUUUUAUUAAAAGACGAGAAGACCCUAUAAAUCUUUUUAUUUGAUUUUAUAUAAAUUUUUUUGAUUUAUUUUGUUUUUAUAUAUUUAAAUAUUUUGUUGGGGUGAUGUUAAAAUUUAAAAAACUUUUAAUGAAUAAAAAUCAUUAAUUUAUGAAUUAUUGAUCCAUUAUUAAUGAUUAAAAAAUUAAGUUACUUUAGGGAUAACAGCGUAAUUUUUUUUGAGAGUUCAUAUCGAUAAAAAAGUUUGCGACCUCGAUGUUGGAUUAAGAUAAAUUUUUAGGUGUAGCCGUUUAAAUAUAAAGUCUGUUCGACUUUUAAAUUCUUACAUGAUCUGAGUUCAGACCGGCGUAAGCCAGGUUGGUUUCUAUCUUUAAUAAGUUAUAAUAUUUUAGUACGAAAGGACCAAAUAUUGAAAUUAUUAAAUUUUUGUUAAAGAAUUUAAUUAAAAUAAUUA